UACGUAGGGGGCAAGCGUUAUCCGGAAUUACUGGGUGUAAAGGGUGCGUAGGUGGUAUGGCAAGUCAGAAGUGAAAACCCAGGGCUUAACUCUGGGACUGCUUUUGAAACUGUCAGACUGGAGUGCAGGAGAGGUAAGCGGAAUUCCUAGUGUAGCGGUGAAAUGCGUAGAUAUUAGGAGGAACAUCAGUGGCGAAGGCGGCUUACUGGACUGAAACUGACACUGAGGCACGAAAGCGUGGGGAGCAAACAGGAUUAGAAACCCCUGACUGACU
rnacentral:rRNA from 1 species